CCUACGGGUGGCAGCAGUGGGGAAUAUUGGACAAUGGGCGAAAGCCUGAUCCAGCCAUGCCGCGUGUGUGAAGAAGGCCUUCGGGUUGUAAAGCACUUUCAGUGGGGAAGAAAGCCUUGGGGCUAAUACCCUCGAGGAAGGACAUCACCCACAGAAGAAGCACCGGCUAACUCCGUGCCAGCAGCCGCGGUAAUACGGAGGGUGCGAGCGUUAAUCGGAAUUACUGGGCGUAAAGCGAGCGUAGGCGGUCUGAUAAGCCGGUUGUGAAAGCCCCGGGCUCAACCUGGGAACGGCAUCCGGAACUGUCAGGCUAGAGUGCAGGAGAGGAAGGUAGAAUUCCCGGUGUAGCGGUGAAAUGCGUAGAGAUCGGGAGGAAUACCAGUGGCGAAGGCGGCCUUCUGGACUGACACUGACGCUGAGGUGCGAAAGCGUGGGUAGCAAACAGGAUUAGAUACCCCUGUAGUC
rnacentral:rRNA from 1 species